GCCCUCGUAGAUGAACGGUACAUCUUCUCUUUUCUGUAGUCAAUACAGGCUUUUGGAGGCGCCUGGGUUCGACUCCCAGUCUGGGCA